CGCGUGGAGAACCUGCCGUAUACUGGGGGAUAACACUUAGAAAUAGGUGCUAAUACCGCAUAAGCGCACAGCUUCGCAUGAAGCAGUGUGGAAAACAAAAAGCUAAAGCUUUUGGUGGUAUACGAUGGAUCCGCGUCUGAUUAGCUUGUUGGCGGGGUAAAGGCCCACCAAGGCGACGAUCAGUAGCCGGCCUGAGAGGGUGAACGGCCACAUUGGGACUGAGACACGGCCCAAACUCCUACGGAAGGCAGCAG
rnacentral:rRNA from 1 species